ACAGUUGGUCGGUCUGCCGCUUGCGCCUCGUGCGUAUGAGGAAAGUCCGGGCAACACAGAGCGUUCCACUUCUUAACAGGAAGCAGUCCGUGAGGGCAGAGUAACGUAGAAGAAAAUAACCGCCUGCCAACCAGCAGGUAAGGGUGAGAAGGUGGGGUAAGAGCCCACCAGGCUGGUGGUGACAUCAGUGCUGUGCGUCUUGGAAGUUGCAAGGUCAUGUAAACUGGCGCUAUGAGAGCUGCUCGCUUUAGCCAGAGGGUAGACCGCUAAAGCCUCAAUGGUGACAUUGGGCUCAGAUAAAUGGCAGACACCCUUAACUCUCUUCUCAUUUACAAGGGAUACAGAACCCGGCUUAUAGGCCAACUGUCUUU
rnacentral:RNase_P_RNA from 1 species